rnacentral:rRNA from 1 species
GGACUACCCGGGUUUCUAAUCCUGUUUGCUCCCCACGCUUUCGUGCCUGAACGUCGGUGCUGGACCAGGAAGCCGCUUUCGCCACUGGUGUUCCUUCCGAUAUCUACGCAUUUCACCGCUACACCGGAAAUUCCGCUUCCCUCUUCCGCACCCUAGCUAUGCAGUCUCGAAUGGCAUUCCCAGGUUGAGCCCGGGGCUUUCACACCCGACUUACAUAACCGUCUACGCACGCUUUACGCCCAGUAAUUCCGAUUAACGCUCGCACCCUCUGUAUUACCGCGGCUGCUGGCAC